rnacentral:rRNA from 1 species
GAAUGCUGACAUAAGUAACGAUAAAGCGGGUGAAAAGCCCGCUCGCCGGAAGACCAAGGGUUCCUGUCCAACGUUAAUCGGGGCAGGGUGAGUCGACCCCUAAGGCGAGGCCGAAAGGCGUAGUCGAUGGGAAACAGGUUAAUAUUCCUGUACUUGGUGUUACUGCGAAGGGGGGACGGAGAAGGCUAUGUUGGCCGGGCGACGGUUGUCCCGGUUUAAGCGUGUAGGCUGGUUUUCCAGGCAAAUCCGGAAAAUCAAGGCUGAGGCGUGAUGACGAGGCACUACGGUGCUGAAGCGACAAAUGCCCUGCUUCCAGGAAAAGCCUCUAAGCAUCAGGUAACAUCAAAUCGUACCCCAAACCGACACAGGUGGUCAGGUAGAGAAUACCAAGGCGCUUGAGAGAACUCGGGUGAAG